AUUCUGCCCAAGCGGGGAAGGAUGAGAAGCUUCGACUAAGGUUCGACUCGAGCGCCAGCGAGAGAGCGUUGCCGCAGGCAACGACCCGAAGGGCGAAGCACUGGUAUUGAGGUGUUGAUAGAACGGCA
rnacentral:sRNA from 1 species